rnacentral:lncRNA from 1 species
AAGAAGCAGGCUCCCAGCGGAGGAGCCUGAUGUGGGGCUCGAUCCCACAACACCGGGAUCACGCCCUGAGCCGAAGGCAGACGCUUAACCACUGUGCCACCCAGGCGCCCCAUGACAACUUUAAUUUUGAGCGUGGAGUGGGAGCUAGACAGUGGCCUUGGAGAGGAUGCCGAAGGUAUCCAAAGGCAGGCUUGGGACACCAGAGCCCAUACGGAGUUCCAAGUAAUCCAGAACUGAAGAGUGAUCUAACUAGGGAAAUGGAGGAGGAGGAGAAGAGGAAGGCACAUGGAUGCUGUCCACCUCCCACAGGCUCACAGUUUUGCCCGGGGCCUGGAGACACUGAGAUCCGGGGCUCACAGCCUUGAUGUAAGUAUAGUGGGUCUCCAGGGUGAGCAUUCUCCCAAGGCAUUUCAAUAUUAGGUACUCUGUUACCCCAGUAAUAAUUAGAUUGAGGUCAGUGGAAGGUAAGGUUCAGUAGGAUGCUGUAAGUGGCCUCCAUCUGCCUUUAGCCCUAUUGCAAACCAAACAGCAAGGCCAUCUGAAGCCCUCAAAUGGCAGAAUCCAGAUUCAAAUAGACUUCUGUACCUAUCACCACAGUAUCUCCAAGGGCUCCAGCUCUAGUGGGUCAUCCAUUUCUUUGAAUCCCCCCCCCAACAUAGCCUGAGCCUUCUCCUUGUGUCCCUGGAAGACAUCAUCUUCCCUUGGUUCCCAGCAGCCCCCACCCCGGCGAGUGUGCACACAUGUGCGAACCCAUCCUGUCCACUUCUCCUCGGCUCUUUUUGUGGACAGCUGCUUCAGGCUUUCCUGCCUUGGCCUUUGUAGCUUCUUCUGGCUUCUGCUCCUCCCAAAGCCUUCAACCCCAAAUGUGGGCACAGACCUCUCUGUUAGCCUCCCAAACACAGGUGGUACUAGAGGGCAAAGUUUAACAAGACUUCACUGAACCCUCGAGGAUGCCAUCAGGGCAUUCCAGGAGAGAGAACGUUAAAGCAGGCAUCCCUGCUCCUGGAGACCACUGCUUCCUUGCACAGUGCCCUUCCUCAAUCCAGAAUUCUCUCCCAGCUGGCCUAAGCCAGAUGGAGCAAAGACCAGGUACCCUCCUCUAAUAGAUCCGCACAGGUUCCCUCCCCGGAGGUGGCUUUUACGUUUGCGGGCUCAGCCUCUCAGUCUGCAGCCUCUGCUCCUGCACCUGGACCACACCUGCUUCCAGGACUUCCCAGGGAGAGUGUGUAACACCCAACCUUAGAUCUGCUUGACCAAAACACCAACUGUCUUUCUCAGAGCAGUUGGAGAACCUUCCCAAAGGAAUAAAAAAAUCCAGUAAACACA